AUACAUAUUUUUUUCUUUAUUUUAUAAAUAAAGUAAAUAUUCAAUUAAGCAAAUAAAUAUAAAUAUAAGCAUCAAAUAUACUAGGUUUUCAUAAAAAGUUAUAUUUCAUUGAUUAGUAAAAUAUGAUUACAAAAAUAGCAAACAUUAGUAUAUAUAUACAAAAGAUGUAUGAGAACUAUAGCUACUAAAAAAUAGAUUACUAGGUUCACUAAAGCUUUUUAGAGAAAUCCUAGCAUCCUAAAUGAGUAAAGAGUAGUCCUAAGAUGUAGGUCUAGACUGACUAGAUGGUGAGGGAGGUCUGACAUCUCCAGAUAACUGAGCUCGAUCACGAACAUCCUUCCUCGCUAAAGUGAGAGCCUGGAUCAACCUCGCCGACUCCUCAUUGACCAAAGAUAGAACCUUCAACAGAUCUCUUCUCACCUACUAUACAUUUGAUAUAUAUCUUUGAAUCUCUUCAUAAACUAAAGUGACGAUCUUGCUGGAAACUCUCUCGAUAAAAGCAUCCUCAUCCAGUCUAUCAGGUAGUCAUGAACUAUGCUCUAAAUAGCUAGCCUAUGAAGGAGUGGUCUCAGUCUGCUCUAUUGGCUUUGCUAGCUCCUCAAUCUUGAUAUCUACAAUUGGCACCAUUGCAGGAGCCUUAUCAUGAUCAAUAUCAUCAUCAUCAUCUCUAUAUACUGAAUCUCAAUGACCAUCAACUUUCUGAAAACACAUCCUCCGGAGUGAUCGGUUGUCAUAGAUAUCAAUGUGCAUCAAAGCUUUGGUAGGCUCUCCUUGAAGAUCCACACCAAAAUUCAGAAAGAUAAGAGUCAAGACCAUACCAUAAGGUAGUGAUGCCUUUGACUGAUUGGCUGCCUCUUCCAUCUGAUGUAACAUAGUGAGGAUAGGUUUAGAAGAAUCUCAUGCAUUACAUGGUGAUAGAAACAUAGGCAGUUUCAUACAUGCAUUUUUAAAAUUUUUAGUAGAAGC
rnacentral:lncRNA from 1 species